rnacentral:rRNA from 1 species
UGGGGAAUAUUGCACAAUGGGGGAAACCCUGAUGCAGCGACGCCGCGUGAGCGAAGAAGGCCUUCGGGUCGUAAAGCUCUUUUAUGAGGGAAGAUAAUGACGGUACCUCAAGAAAAAGCCCCGGCUAACUACGUGCCAGCAGCCGCGGUAAUACGUAGGGGGCUAGCGUUGUCCGGAAUCACUGGGCGUAAAGGGUUCGCAGGCGGAAUAACAAGUCAGAUGUGAAAGGCAUGGGCUCAACCCAUGUAAGCAUUUGAAACUGUAAUUCUUGAGAAGUGGAGAGGUAAGUGGAAUUCCUAGUGUAGCGGUGAAAUGCGUAGAUAUUGGGAGGAACACCAGUAGCGAAGGCGGCUUUAUGGACUGCAACAGACACUGAGGAACGAAAGCGUGGGUAGCAAACAGG